rnacentral:lncRNA from 1 species
AAUUAAUUGGUCUAAUAUAUCAAUGGUUUUCAAGAAAUUAAUCUUCUCCAUAUGCACUUUCUUCAGUCUCAGAAGAAAAAAUGGAAUUGAACCACAGAUUGCUGAUUCCAAUAUUAAUCAAGAAAACUUGAUUAAGGAAAGAAUAGGGUUUCGAUUCGAUGAGUCCAAUGUGGAGGCUACGACGUUGUGUUGUGUCUGUUUGUCGAGUUUAAGCCGAGGAGAACGCCGUGCACUGCCAUGUCUCCACGAGUUUCAUAAAAUUUGUGUCGACAGAUGGUUAAAUGCGUGCUGUAAAACAUGCCCGGUGUGCCGGUUUGCGGUCGACGAGGAUGAAGGGAAGAGACAGGAAAGAGAAGAGUUAACCGAGGAGAUGGUGAUUUGGUUUUCCUCCUUUCAUGUAGCUGGCUUCUGACCCAGGUUUUAUCGACUGGAUAUUUGCAUUUUGGCACCAGCGACGGAAAAUUCCGUCGAUGGACUUUUUUUCUUUUCCUAGGUGUGAGUUAAUUCUCUUGUUUCUCUUUCCCACCAUCGCAGAAGCGUAUAAAGACUUUGUUGUGAAGAAAAUAGGAUUUGUAUGGGGAAGAAAUUGGAAUACAUGAUUUGGAAGCUGCAUUGUUGAAAUAUCCUAUCCCUACCUUUUUUGGGCUGAAAAUGAAUUUCUACUUUAAAAAAUUAUUAAUAAAACAAGGGAAUGUUGAAGAAAAAA